rnacentral:rRNA from 1 species
AUUGAACGCUGGCGGCAGGCCUAACACAUGCAAGUCGAACGGUAGCACAGAGAGCUUGCUCUCGGGUGACGAGUGGCGGACGGGUGAGUAAUGUCUGGGAAACUGCCUGAUGGAGGGGGAUAACUACUGGAAACGGUAGCUAAUACCGCAUAACGUCGCAAGACCAAAGUGGGGGACCUUCGGGCCUCACACCAUCGGAUGUGCCCAGAUGGGAUUAGCUAGUAGGUGGGGUAAUGGCUCACCUAGGCGACGAUCCCUAGCUGGUCUGAGAGGCUGGCCAGCCACACUGGAACUGAAACACGGUCCAGACUCCUACGGGAGGCAGCAGUGGGGAAUAUUGCACAAUGGGCGCAAGCCUGAUGCAGCCAUGCCACGUGUAUGAAGAAGGCCUUCGGGUUGUAAAGUACUUUCAGCGGGGAGGAAGGCGGUGAAGUUAAUAACUUCACCGAUUGACGUUACCCGCAGAAGAAGCACCGGCUAACUCCGUGCCAGCAGCCGCAGUAA